rnacentral:rRNA from 1 species
UACGUAGGAUGCUAGCGUUGUCCGGAUUUACUGGGCGUAAAGCGCGCGCAGGCGGCACUGUAAGUAAGGUGUGAAAUCUCCCUGCUCAACGGGGGAGGGUGCACUUUAGACUGCAGAGCUAGAGGACGGUAGAGGGGGUGGAAUUGCUGGUGUAGCGGUGAAAUGCGUAGAGAUCAGCAGGAACACCCGUGGCGAAGGCGGCCCCUGGGCCGAACUGACGCUGAGGCGGCGAAGGCUAGGGGAGCGAACGGG